rnacentral:rRNA from 1 species
UACGAGGGGGGCAAGCGUUGUUCGGAAUUAUUGGGCGUAAAGGGUGCGUAGGCUGUGCGGUAAGUCACCUGUGAAAUCUCUGGGCUCAACCCAGAGCCUGCAGGCGAAACUGCCGUGCUGGAGUAUGGGAGAGGUGCGUGGAAUUCCCGGUGUAGCGGUGAAAUGCGCAGAUAUCAGGAGGAACACCCGUAGCGAAGGCGGCACUCUGGGCCGGAACUGACGCUGAGGAGCGAAAGCGUGGGGAGCGAACAGG